AUUCCGGGUAUUUCAGAUCAUCGGAGCCGCGUAAACGGGGCCUUUGUGCCAGGCCUGGAUUCCUCCUGGCACAUUUUUUUCUAGCUCCGUGCGUGUUGCGUGUGUUGACACUUUAUCGUUUUUUUGUGGCUGAACGCCAGCCCGUUGAAUGGAUCUACCACGUUAGGAUUAACCACUCAGUAAUUGGUGGACGCUGGGUUGUACUGCCUUGUGGUGGCUGUGAGCCAGCAGCCCUACGAAGUACCUGCUUGGCCACCUGUUUCAUCCUCGGGGGGGUCGACGCCGGGGGAAAGGAUGAAGAAGAUCGGUGUGGAGGGGCUGCUCUCCUCAUAGGACUUGGAAAACUCGACGCUCCGACCUUCCACAAACUUGCUGCCCAUCUUCUCCUCCACGAAGUUCCUGAGGGACACGCACUGGUCAGAUCUGAAGGCGAGGGGGACAGGGUGGGCUGUGACCCCAGGGGGAAGGGCCAUUUCUUGGUGGGCUUAGGCAGAACACGUCUCCACUUCCGGGGGCUUUCCUCUUUGCAGGGGGGUGUGUGGAGGGGGAGCGGGUGCACCCCAUCCCUGCUGGGCCCCGCAGAGGCGUGUUUCCCUGGAGAGGCCUGCAUGUGAGCAGGUGAGAGGUGGUCUCCCGCUGCCCCACUUUCAGAGGAUCCCAGGUCACCUGGGGAGAAACACAAGCCUCAAUGGGGCCAUAACCAGGGCAUCGCAGGUGAGCACGCCCCGGUGCCGGGGUACCCCUGGGUCCUUCGAGCCCUCUGUGCCCCCCAAGGAAGGGGGCAGGUCAGGUUCUCAUCUGGGCGGCAGAAGGGGAGCACAGUUGGGGCUCUGCAUCCUGGCGGUCCCCUGACCGGGGGUUGAGGAGGAAGGAAGUUCAUGUUGUAGCCAUUUUGGUGAGUUUCCAGGACCAUGGGAUAUAUGGUUCAUCAGAAAAAUCACAGGGAAAAAGGAAUUUUCCUUUAAUGCCUCUCUUUCCAGAAGCGCCUCUUUGUUCCAAGCCCCAAACUGUCUUUCUGGGGUCAAUCGAGGCCCCCUCUCAUGGGAGGUUGAGGGAUCUUUGGGGUGACAUUUGGGUCUCGCUUUGCCCUUCUUCCUCCAUCACCAACGGCUGAGCUUACUGUAUUCCGAAUGAGUCACAGGAGCUAAAAUGCUAAGAUUCGGCAUCUUUAGAAGAAGCAAGUCAGUCUUUCGAAGAACAGCAGGAGAGGAGGCACUCACGCUCAAGCAGCCGGCCAUCGGACACUCUGUCCUUAUCCUGGAGGACCGUCGGGUGGCCUGGUGGCGGCCUGCUCACUUGGAGGCCACCCCACACCCUCCGACUCCUUCCCUCGGACUCCGGGGGGAGCCUCCAAGCCUCGGUGCUUCCUGGGGACACGCUUAUCAGUGUCCACCACCUGCCCUGGCCUUCACUGGCUCCUAUGCAGUUUCCCUGAACUGAUGCCGGCUCCCGGCUGGGGGCUGGAUGGGGGGCCAGGGGACACACCGCCCGAAAGCCUCCAGUUGUACUCGAUUCCGGCCUCUGAGUGGACCAGGAAUGUGGAUGCUAGGAUCCUUGUCCAGGAAGGACUUUGGGAAUGUAGGCAGGAAUGUCACUAAAUCCACUGUUGCUAAGGACAUGGCCAGGCCAUGUGGUCAUCCUCUGCCGGUGAAUUAACGAUGAACGGUGUGUGCUGGUUCGGGGUGGGGGCUCCACCACUCUGGGCACCGCGUCCCCGGCAGAGGAGUGCGGGGCCCACUCCCGGCCGGGACAGCCACAUCACAGAAACUGCUGCAAACCAGGGCCUUUGCUGGGAGAUGCGUUUGCCAGCACCCAUCCCCCUCAGGUGCUGCCCUCUUGGGGCCAGUGAGCCUCGGGCCGCCCCGCUGGGGGCACAGGGGAGCCCACGCUUUGGCGCCGGGUGCACAGCAUGCAGCUCUGAUGGGGUGCCCUGUUCAGGCUAGCGGAAGAAGGGGCCUGGCGCCAGCGGACGGGGUCCCGGCCCCCCAACAGGGGCGGGGCCACGGGUAGCUCCUCCCUCCGCCCAGGCACCGCCCCUCCCAGGGCACCACGCCCACCUGACAGCGUAGGUCAUGCGGUCCGGCCGCAUGCAUCUCAGCACGCACAGCUUCUGCAGCGCCGUUUUGUUCUUCCACUCCUUGGGGAAGAUCUCCUUCUCCGGGGCUUCUGACUCCACCAGCUUCUUCCACCGCUUGGCGGACCCUUCGAUGUCGCUGUCCAGGUUCUUGAACUCAUCCAUCUCCGACAGGGCCUGGGGGCAGGCGGCCUUUAAGCUUCAGCCCCCACUCCCAGUGCAGAGGCCCGGAUUGAGCAACGGAGGCACAUGACCUGGGGGCCGACCCCCCAGAGGGCUGUGGGACGGGGGCGCCGCCCCCGUCACAGGGGACCCUGUUCUUAAGGUCUUCUGAACAGAGACACCAAGGGCCCCCAGUGCGUGUGCCCGGAAUUGGAGGUGUUUACUUGAAGCUUUGCGCUCGGUGGUAGAGGGGCCGCCCGUGGCUCAGGGGCCGUGUUUGGACAGGAAAGUAGAGUUUCCUGCGAGCCGGCAGGCAGCCCUCUGCACCCCGGCCCCACCACUGGGGCCCGGCCCCCCACCGUUCCCAGGGUGAUCACCAGGGGCCUCGCGCAGGGAGAGGAGCAUGUUCGAGCCUGCGCGCCCACCUUGAUGCCGCCCCAUCCCUGGUGCUGCAGGAAGUCCACCGGGGACAGGACCCCCGCCUUGAAGGGGAACCGCAGGAGGAAAUCCAGCUCUACCGGGUUCAGCUCUUUCUUCAUGGACAAGACCUGGGGGGACACGGGGGCCGCUCAGAUGUCACCCCACAACAGGGGGGCAGGGGGGCCACCGGCCCCUGGCAGGAGAGCCUGGGACCUUGGUCCUGGGGGGACUGACUGACGCAGGGCAGGCUGAAGAGCUCACACCCCUGGUCCGCAGCCGGGGCGGGGGAGUGGGGUGGGGGUUGGUGGGGGGCUGUCCUGUCCUCGGGUCUGGCAAGACUUUCCAUUCACAUUGAUUUUUUUUUUUUAAUCGUGGUAAAAUACACAGGACACAAAAUGUACCGUCUCACCCCUAUUAAGGUAUAACAUUUUCGUAAAACCGUGUCACCGCUAUCUAGCACCAGAGCUUUUUCUUCUUCCCAAAGGGAACCGGGACCCUGUGCACAGCCCCUCCCCCCGGCCACUGGCGGCCCCGCGUUGGCGCUCUGUUCAGUGGAGCCCUGCAGAUGUGGCCUUUCCCAUCCGGCUUCUCUCACUCUGUCCUCUUGGUUCACCCAUGUUGUAGCGACCACGUUUGGUGUAUCCGCUGAUCCUUCGAUGGAUGUUUGGGCCACGUCCCCUCGUGGCCAUUACGUGCAGAGCUGCUGUGAGUGCAAGAGAGUCAAGUCGUCGGGCCGUAUACAUUUUCUGGGGGACUUCCUGGGUCCUGUUCUACGUCGCCUCGUCACCCGUGCACACCAGCUCUCUGGGCGUCCAUCUGGCCGUGGAGCCGGGGCCACGGUCACCGCAGCGCCGCAGACAGGCGCCCGCGCAGCUCCACUCCGACGCCACAGAGCAGGGUUUCGCCCGAGUCAGAUUCUCUUUUUCUUUCUCUCUCUCAUUCAAAAGAAGAACUUCUUUGGAAAUUUAGGGGGAGCACCAAGUUCUGCUGCCCCCUCAGCGGGGCGAAAACUCAUGGUGGGCCUGCCCUUCGGGACUCACGCAGGUACGGAAAACCUUGAUCUGGACCCUCAGGCAAAGUGUGCGUUGGGAAGCAGACUUCCGGAAGCUAUCUAGAAAUUCGUGUUUUCUGCCAUACUUACGAGACUGAACCAGAUGGUGGAGGGGCUGUUAGAUUAACUUAAUGGAACGAAAAUGAAACAAAAACUGUUUCAGAGGGUCUGUCUGUACGAAGAGGAGGAAUGUUCAUCCAUUGGUAGUUUUACUUCCUUAAGAAACAGUAUUGGGCGUCCUUGGUUCACCACCUGCUGGGGUGGAACUGCUCCCUUGGCGUUAAGUAAACGUAAUAGAACAACGUUUCUUUGUAGAAUUCUCUGUAAGGGACCUCCCCUCCGGUGGCUGCCACCUACAACCGUGCCCGGUGUCAACAGAGUCCCAGGCGGGUCCCCCAGCAGGGACCCGAACAAAUGCCAUCACCCGGGAACCUGCACUGUGGACCACGUGUCAAGCAGGGAGGCCAGACUUGCCUGGAAGGCCACCUGGGCCAGGAAGAUGAGCUUGUCCCGUUCGAAGAGCCCGCGGGCCGUGUACAUGUAGACGGAGUUCUCCACUAAGGCUGUGUCCCCCAGGAAGUUCCCCGACGCGGCCGACAGACGGGCCAGCAGGGAGUCUUCCAGCUCUUUCAG